AAGUCGUAACAAGGUUUCCGUAGGUGAACCUGCGGAAGGAUCAUUAACACGAUAUAUAUGGGGUUUUUUUCUCCAUAUUAUCACUUUUUCCAAUCACCUUUUCGUUUUUUUUUGUAUGUACGUGUUAAAAGCGUAUGUACAUAUUGAUUUUCUUCAUAAUAAUGACAUGUGAAAGAAUCAGUGUGAUCAUAGUUUGAUUACUGUGUGAGCAUUGUCUUUCAUUUUUUCAUUACUUAUUCAUAUAAAACACCUUAUAACAUCAAAAACAAUCAUAAUCAAAUCACAUAAAAAAAUAACAAACAAACAAAAAAACAACUCUUAGCAACGGAUAUCUUGGUUCUC
rnacentral:misc_RNA from 1 species